UACUGGGCCAGUCUUGUGGUGGUUUAAGGUUGCACAUGAAUAAGCAAUUUUUUCUGUGUACUGAUGAUCACAUUUGCUUGUUUUUCCUUCAGUAUGUUAUCAAUCACCAAGCAUUACAGUGCCUGUUGAAUCUUUUGAUGCACAAUCACAAGAAAAGUAUAAAGAAGGAAGCAUGCUGGACGAUUUCAAACAUCACUGCUGGAAAUAAGGUUUCAGGCUGUUAUUGAUGUUGAUAUAUCAUUGGUCCACUUGUACAUUUGCUUCAAACAGCUGAGUUUGAUAUAAAAAAAAGAUGCAGCUUGGGCAAUCUCCAAUGCAACUUCAGGGGGUACACACGAUCAGAUAAAAGUAUGUUUUGAUGUAUGAAGCUUCAUAUGCACAGAAAAGGAAAUGUUGUUUUAGUAUUGUUUGUCGGAUCAUUUUUUUUCCUUAAUUGGUAAACCUUGUUAUUUAGUUAUCUGGUGAGUCAGGGUUGCAUCAAACCUUUGUGCGAUCUUUUGGUGCGCCCAAACCCAAGAAUUGUGACGGUUUGUUUUGAAGGAUUGGAGAACAAAUUGAAGGUUGGGGAAGCUGAAAAGAACAUGGGCAACAUUGGAGUUUGGUCGUUAGAUGUUCUUAAAAGAUGUGGUCUUAAUUCCUAUGUCUUGCAUGCUAGAUGUUCUUAAAAGGUGUGAAGAUUGGGUUUCAUAGUUCA